UACGGGGGGAGCAAGCGUUGUUCGGAUUUACUGGGCGUAAAGGGCGCGUAGGCGGUCAGCACAAGUCAGUUGUGAAAUCUCCGGGCUUAACUCGGAAAGGUCAACUGAUACUGUGCGACUAGAGUGCGGAAGGGGCAACUGGAAUUCUCGGUGUAGCGGUGAAAUGCGUAGAUAUCGAGAGGAACACCUGCGGCGAAGGCGGGUUGCUGGGCCGACACUGACGCUGAUACGCGAAAGCGUGGGGAGCGAACCGG
rnacentral:rRNA from 1 species